UCCGAGUUGACCCCGGCAGUCUCCUACGAGUCCCCGGCAUUACCCGCUGGCAACAUAGGACAAGGGUUGCGCUCGUUGCGGGACUUAACCCAACAUCUCACGACACGAGCUGACGACAGCCAUGCAGCACCUGUGCACCUGCCCCGAAGGGAAGCCUAGCUUUCACUAGGCGAUCAGGUGCAUGUCAAGCCCAGGUAAGGUUCUUCGCGUUGCUUCGAAUUAAGCCACAUGCUCCACCGCUUGUGCGGUCCCCCGCCAAUUCCUUUGAGUUUUAACCUUGCGGCCGUACUCCCCAGGCGGAUAACUUAAUGCGUUAGCUGCGGCACCGAGGGGAACCCCCCAACACCUAGUGAACAUCGUUUAUGGCUAAGACUAC
rnacentral:misc_RNA from 1 species